rnacentral:rRNA from 1 species
AUACAAACAGGGAUUCGCAAACAAAAGGGGGAAUUCGUAGUCACUUUUUCCUGUCGCGUAAAAAAACUUUACGCAAGAGCAAUAGAGGUUGGGAUACAUCUAUCUCUUCUGAGCAACCUCUUUUGGAUUCUUAAGACCACCCUUGCAGUAGGAUACCAUCUGCUUUGGGUUCUUUAUUAUCUCCUUCGAGAGAUUUUUAGGAUCGUUCAGGCUAUAUAUAUUUAG